UCUCUCCUUCUUUCCCGCUCUCGAUCAACGCUACCCACAUCCCUCCCUCUCUCGCUCUCGUAUUACUCCCUGAUCAAACCUGAAACCCUAAUUUCCUCUACCGAAUUAGGUUGCAUUGAAUUGCACUGCAGAUCAAAGAGAUUUCCCCAAUCCGAAACAAAUCAAACGGAACCUAGAACCCCAAAUUCGUAACGCCAUUCACAUCGUUUUCUUCUCUGGGGACGACUUUGAAACAGAGACAGAUAGAUUCCAGGCAACGAGCUUCUCGCUCUGGGAUACCAUCAAGUUUACAAACAGGCUAUGCCUCGAUGCAUAUGUGGUCAGAUCUUAGUUUGUAAUCAGAUGGUCUUAUGUGGACAGCGGAAAGAUAGAAGUAAGGUGUUUUCAUUUAGAGGAGACUCAAACUGGCUUUUGUUUCAGUUAAGUGCCAAAGUAGGGAUCUUCUUUGUGGCCAAUGUUGUAGCUCGAGGUUGCGAAACAAGCACGCCAACAUAUUCUUCCAACGGAUCUCCCUAGUUCUCGUUCAGCUUAUUUCUCACCUGGGUAAGAUCAGUUUCACUUCCAUGUUGUAUCACACUGCAAAAGAAUCAUAAGCGGUCAUUUCAAGUAGCCACCAGUGCCUCCCUCCAUUAAAGUAACGAUCCAUAGUAAAUUCUAACACAUCAGUGCAUCAUUUUAGAACUGCUUUUGCGGACAGUUAAUAAUUAAACUAAGCGGGUUACUGUUAUAUGAACUGCUUCUAACUUUCGUUUGUGAAUUGUGGUUGUUAACUUGUUAUAUGCUUAGUUAGUCCUUCUCAUGUUUGCGUUCUCCCGGCCUAUGUCAUUAUAUAGAGUUUACGCGCACACAUUUACGGCUGACAGUCACACAUGCAGUGAGCGGCUGGCCUUAGCCUUCCUCUUAGAUCUAUCUUAGAAGUGGAAGUAUUCUACAACUUGGAUUUACUUGGGCACUAAGGAUUCAUGAAUGUGUCAAAAGUCAAAAGUACCCAAGGAUUUACAUGGCUAUGCUGCUGUCUGGACUCUGGACCGUUGAGAUUCUUAGUUGAGUUUCAAUCAAACAGCUUUACCUUUACCAUCGGUUCCAAGUUUAUACAAAAAUCUGCCUUCUACAUCAUUAAUCCACAAAAUGCUAUAAAUAUAGGUUUCAAAAAUCAAUAUUGGAAAUUACGACUGUGGUCCUUUUGUAAUAUGUUGUUGUGGAAGCAUAUUGAUGCCCUUAGGAAUUUAUGAAUUGGAAAUCUGAUGUGUAGAUCUUUCGGAUUGAAUAACCUAGGAUUGUUGACCUUAGAAUAUCUUCAACCGUUGGGUUAAA